AAUGAACUUUAUUUACGCACUUUAUGCUUAUUUCGACCUAUUUGUAGUAGGCAAACAUAUUGUCAACUGUUACGAAAGCAUUUGAUGACACAAACAGCGCCAAUGGCUCCUGAAAUUUUCGUUUUAUUGAAAUUAAUCGAAUGUGCAGUGGGGAGAGCGGGGGUGGGCCACCCUUUAAUCUUGUCGAUAAGCAAUAGAAGGCGAGAAACGUGCUGGAAUCCGUUGCCAAAACAAAAGCCAGCUGAACGGGCGGCAAUUUUAUGGCGCACUUGUUUCGCGUUAAUCGCAUAUCGUAAACUAAGCAUUUUUACGGCACCUGCGGUAAUGGAUUACUAAAGCAACAACUGCCGCCACAGCCAACCACCCCUACAGCCCCCUCUCCCACUUAGCUCCCCUUAGUCCCCUACAGACCAUACGGGGCGAAGGCAGCACUCGUCAUGGGCCCCCGCUGGCUAUCGCCCACUUCCCCCGUCAUCCAACCCCAGCAGACGACAAGUUAGCGAGGCGUGAAACAGGCCCAGUCCUGGCCUCAGCCUCGGCCUCGGGCCAAUGUCAAGCUCCAUAGGCCGGUUUUGGCUUUGCUUUGCAAUAAUUGCAAAACUGCAAUAAAUUUACUUUUAUUUUCGGCGCUUUAAAUUGAAGGUUUGAACCGCGGCGACAAAAAAAAAACAGAAGAAGGCAACGGAAGCGACCAUAACAUGUGCAAUUCGAACCGGCAUGUGGUUGGCGUGCGUAUGCGAGUGGGCGACAUUAGAGAUGGACAUAAAAUGCACGAAGGCUUUUCGUUUGUAAUCUAUUUUUUUGAGUGUGUAUGUGUAUAGUUAUCGAUAUUAAUCGUUUUUGGAAAUGUUGUUAAAACAGACCGAUAAAUGAACAGACUGACAGAUCUUAA